UGUUUCGAAGCACGCCUAAAACUGUUUUGUGAGAGGUGAAAACUUCAAAUUAGCUAACAUUUACCAAAAAAAAAAAAUGGGAAACAACUUAUCUGCCGUACCAUCGAUACGUAAACCUGAAAUCGCUCCAAAUUGUACACCUGAUACAUCUUCCGAGCGCCUUGAAAUUCAGUUGCGGAUUCCCUGUCCAGAAAUGGCGCGGGAAAUAAUGUGGAAAACCAUUGCUUUACUGGAAGCAACGGCCGCGGACGAUACUAUAAGCACUGCUGAACGCGAACAAGCCAAGCAGUGUAUUGAACUAAUCCGGCGAGAUAAUGCUGCAUUAUGUGAAAGCCAAUGAUUUUCUCAACCAACCAGGGAUGGAAUAAUCGCGAAAAAAUCAAUUUCGCUUGCGAACUUUCUUCACCCGCGAAAGAGAGAGGAGGCAAAUCACGCAAUAAAAAUCGCUCCCGAAAUUCUCCGAGAAAAUCAAUCUGCUGAUGAUUUUUUGUGAAUUUCCUUGUCAGCACCACUCAAAAAUAUUUAUUUCACUUUGUUUACACACAACAUGUCACAUUGUCACAAUUGUCACAAUUAUACCAAAUUCCAAAUUAUUUAUAAGUUAUUUAUUUCUUUAAAAUAUGGUAGCAUUAGUAAUGUAAAAAAUAUCUAAAAUUGUUCUGUACUGUACCUACU